rnacentral:rRNA from 1 species
GUGGAUUAGGCAUGCAAGUCGAGCGACGUUUGUUUGAAGCCGCAAGGUGGAUGGCAAACGAGCGGCAAACGGGUGAGUAACAGGUGAGUAAUCUUCCUUUAUGUCGGGCAUAGCUUCGCGAAAGCGAAGAUAAUUCCGGAUAACACUGCGAGUGCACAUGCAUUUGCAGUUAAAGAUUGGGGAUCCGGCAAGGACCUGUCGCAUAAUGAUGAGCUCGCCUCCUAUCAGCUAGUUGGCGGUGGGUAAUGGCCCACCAAGGCUUAUGACGGGUAGCUGGUCUGAGAGGAUGGUCAGCCACACUGGGACUGAGACACUGCCCAGACUCCUACGGGAGCUGCAGUCGAGAAUAUUUAGCAAUGGGCGCAAGCCUGACUAUGCGACGCCGCGUGAGGGAUGAAGGUCUUCGGAUCGUAAACCUCUUUUGUCUGGAAAGAAACUUUCAGGGUUAAUAGUCCUGAAACUGCCGGUACCAGACGAAAAGCCACGGCCAACUCCGUGCCAGCAGCCGCGGUAAUACGGAAGUGGCAAGCGUUACUCGGAAUCAUUGGUGUGUAAAGGGCAAGUAGGCGGCCUGUUAAGUGAGGGGUUGAAAUCCUGCGACUCAAUCGCAGAACUGCCUUUCAAACUGGCGGGCUUGAGGUGGGAAGAGGGAAAUGGAAUUCGGUCGGUGUGUAAGGGUGAAAUCUGUAGAUUAUUCGCGAAGAACACCAGAGGCGAAGGCGAUUUCCUGGUCCUUACCUGACGCUAAUUGCGAAAGCUAGGGGAGCAAACAGAAUUAGAUACUCUGGUAGUCCUAGCCGUAAACGAUGAGCACUAGGUGUUGGGUCGCGAGACUCAGCGCCGUCGCCAACGCAUUAAGUGCUCCACCUGGGGACUACGGUCGCAAGCUAAAACUCAAAGGAAUUGACGGGGGGCCGCACAAGCGGUGGAACAUGAUGGUUCAAUUCGAUGCUACGCGAAGAACCUCACCAAGGCUUGAACAUACAGCAAGUAGUGAACCGAAAGGGGAACGAGGCCGUCAAGUCCGGCAAGCUGUACAGGUGCUGCAUGGCUGUCGUCAGCUCGUGUCGUGAGAUGUUGGGUUAAGUCCCGCACGAGCGCAACCAUUACCCGAUGUUGCGACCAUGUUGUAUCGAAAGAUAUGAUGUGAGCACUCUUCGGGGACUGCCUGGGAUAACCAGAGGAAGGUGGAGAUGACGUCAAGUCAGUACGGCCCUUAUGCCUUGGGCUACCACGUGUUACAAUGGGUGAUACAAAGGGUUGCCAACCCGCGAGGGGGAGCUAAUCUCUAAAAAUCAUCCUCAGUUCAGAUUGAAGUCUGCAAUUCGACUUCAUGAAGCCGGAAUCGCUAGUAAUGGAAGAUCAGCACGCUUCCAUGAAUACGUUCCCGGGCCUUGUACACACCGCCCGUCAAGCGAUGGGAGCUAGAGGUACCCGAAGUCCUAUGUAGAUAGGCCGAGGUAAACCUAGUGACUGGCGCU